AGAGUUUGAUCCUGGCUCAGAUUGAACGCUGGCGGCAUGCUUUACACAUGCAAGUCGAACGGCAGCGCGGGCUUCGGCCUGGCGGCGAGUGGCGAACGGGUGAGUAAUAUAUCGGAACGUACCCAGAAGUGGGGGAUAACGUAGCGAAAGUUACGCUAAUACCGCAUACGAUCUACGGAUGAAAGUGGGGGACCGCAAGGCCUCAUGCUUUUGGAGCGGCCGAUAUCUGAUUAGCUAGUUGGUAGGGUAAUGGCCUACCAAGGCGACGAUCAGUAGCUGGUCUGAGAGGACGACCAGCCACACUGGAACUGAGACACGGUCCAGACUCCUACGGGAGGCAGCAGUGGGGAAUUUUGGACAAUGGGGGCAACCCUGAUCCAGCAAUGCCGCGUGAGUAAAGAAGGCCUUCGGGUUGUAAAGCUCUUUUGUCAGGGAAGAAACGGCUGAGGCUAAUAUCCUCGGCUAAUGACGG
rnacentral:rRNA from 1 species